rnacentral:lncRNA from 1 species
AAACAUAAAAAAAAAAAAAAAAAAAAGGAAUGGAUAAAUUAUUAUUAUUUUUUUUAUCGUGGCGAAACCGGUUGCCAUAUAGUAUACCUUCGGAUUGUAAAGUUUUGAUAGCUUUUCAAGCACUUUUCUAGAAAUGUUGAAAGAUUACAUAGUGAAGCAAAGCAUAUUUACUGAGAGGAAAAACAAGAUCAACUUAAUGGUUAUACAAAAAGAAUAUUGCCUGGAUGAGCAAGUCUACUGUAUCUGCUGUAGCUCAGACGGACCCAUGGACCCACUACUGUGGUGAAUGCAUUCCUUUUUAUUAUGUGUCUUGUAUUAAAUUUUGUCUUUGACAGUAACGUAAGAAGAGGAAAUUGUUGGAAAACCCAUCUUGAAUGAAGCCAAAUAUUCCUAUGUUAAUGUUUGAGAGCCCAGCCUGUGAAAUAAUAAUACCCCCUGUUCUAGCUAGAAAAGGCAAGAAGAAGACAUUGUUCCUUUGCUAUAUCUGGGGACCACCAUAACAGCACAUCACAGCACCAGAAUACAGAAGAGUCCUGUUUUGUACUUUUGACAUAUUGCUUCAAUGGAGUUAGUACGGGAAAACAACACUGACAGGCCAUAGUUAAAAGCUAGAUUUUCGAAAUUUCUUCUCCCGUUCUCACUUCUGAGAUAGACUACUGAUCAUCUUGAUAAAUUUUAAUUUUGGUUUUAGAAAAACCGGGCUUUUGUAUUAGAACAUGAAUAUUUCAUUAGCAUCUCGAAAAUCUUAUUUGUUUUUUUAUUUUAUAUUUGAAGUUUCGUAAAUAUUGCCUGCUUUUGAUGUACAUCUGAAAAAUUGUCAAUUCAAAUAGUAAGAUUCAAAAGUCAAUUGUCAAAUAGUAAUAA